AACUCAAUUCCGGCUUCAGUGAUUUGCACAAGGGUUUAGUCUUCCUUUAUAUAACCUGAGCUAGCACGACCAGGUCUUGAAUUUGGGCUUUAGAUCACAGCUAGUUCAAAAGUUCCAGCAAGGAAUGUUCUUGAAUCAAAUAGUUGAUUUGUUUAGAAACAAAACUAGGUCAUGGCCGCCUUCUAGAACAUCAGGAAAGGCGCUACUUGACGCACAAGUAAAAAGGCGUGGAUU
rnacentral:lncRNA from 1 species